ACUUAAAUAAUAUGUCUUCUCUGUUUUAUAGCCUGAGCUGUAACGUUGAUCCCCGUCGACAUUGAUCUCAACUUGAUUAUCUGAAAAUAGUUGCUGACCAAUCAAUUUUUCUCGUUUUUUGGAUUGAGUUUGGAGCUUCUUUUUUUUUUCUUUUGAGUGGUCUACAUUUGACAUUCUCUUAGAAUUUUAAAAUGAUAAAGAAUAGAAUAAUAUUAAUUAACAUUUGGUGGUCGUAUGUUCUAGUC